GCCCGCCUAGCUCAAUCGGAUAGAGCGUGAGACUUUUAGGGCUAGGCUUUCGGUUAAGUCCAAAAAUCUCAAGGCUGCGAGUUCGAGCCUCGCGGUGGGCU
rfam:Fomitopsis pinicola FP-58527 SS1 unplaced genomic scaffold FOMPIscaffold_54, whole genome shotgun sequence.